rnacentral:rRNA from 1 species
GUGUGGGUCGGCUCGCGGGACCAUCACUCCACUCGAAGUCCAGCAUUGAGUAUGGCUUCACUGGAUUUGGCCCAUAGAGGGUGAGAGGCCCGUACGGGUGGAGGUUCAGACAUGUGCGAUGGUUCACCAGGCCGGCCUCAGAGUCGGGUUGUUUGAGAUUGCAGCCCAAAGAGGGUGGUAAACUCCAUCCAAGGCUAAAUACUGCCACGAGUCCGAUAGCGAACAAGUACCAUGAGGGAAAGUUGAAAAGUACUCUGAAGAGAGAGUAAACAGUACGUGAAGCCGCAUGCAGGUAAACGGGUGGCGUCAAGCUGCGAGCCCGGAGGAUUCAGCUGACUGGGAUGUAGUGUACGCGCGCCUGGUGCGUCGAGAGGCCGGAGUAAGAUGUUUGGCGGUCCACUCCUCUCUCGGGAGUGGGGCGCGAUCGAUGUGCGCUUGCGUAUGUCGGUUGUCGCUAUGCAUGCCGGGUGGGUGCCGGAGCAUGCCGCUCGUCUGUUGGGCCACCUAGUCAGUGCAUUUUCUCCGUGGUGAACACCACGACCGGUGGGACUGCCAGUCUGCUGCGAGCAAGUCGUGUCCUCCUGAUUACCUUGUGUGUUGGGUGGGCGCGAUCGCAGGCGGAAUGGGUGAACGGCGCAGUGGUACCUCGGUGCUGCCGCGUGUUAUCGUGCACUCUCCGUUGUAAGCGGUUAGUGGGUUAGUGCUGUGACUACUUGCCCUCUGAUCGGCGGCUCGUAGUGGUGAAAGUAACUGUGCAGGGCACCGGAGUUCUCCACCUCAUUCAAUAUGGUACUCGGCACGCACGUCAUAGGUGCUGUUGAAUCGGGAUGCGCCGCUGUCUGCCUAGUGUUGGGCCUGACUGUCGUGUUGCCUGCGCAAAGUGGGUCCGGCGGUGGCUUCGAUGCUGGGCAGCUCUGCAGUGUGUUGCGUGUCUCGGGUGUCUGUAGUGCCGGGGGUGAAAUAGUCAGUGGUGCUGUGGUAGACGAGCUACCCGACCCGUCUUGAAACACGGACCAAGGAGUUUAACAUGUGUGCGAGUCAAAGGGUCCUACGAAACCCCUAGGCGCAGUGAAAGUGAAGUUCAUGCUGCACUUCUGCACAUACGCGGUGCAGCGUGGCGAGGUGAGAUCUCGUUGUACUCAUGACACACGCCGUAGACCUCUCUACUGGGCACUAUAACUGGGGCAACGAGCGCAUCACCGGCCCGUCUCAUGAUGUGGUCAUGGGUGUACUUGCGCGUGGAGUGG